GAAUCUUGCCCAAUGGGCGCAAGCCUGAGGCAGCGACGCCGCGUGAGGGAAGAAGGCCUUCGGGUUGUAAACCUCUUUCAGGAGGGACGAAGCCACUCGGGUUAAUAGCCCAGAGGGUGACGGUACCUCCCGAAGAAGCCCCGGCCAACUACGAGCCAGCAGCCGCGGUAAUACGUAGGGGGCAAGCGUUGUCCGGAUUUACUGGGCGUAAAGAGCGUGUAGGCGGCCAGGCAGGUCUGUUGUGAAAACUGGAGGCUGAACCUCCAGACGUCGACAGAAACCGUCUGGCUGGAGUCCGGAAGAGGAGAGUGGAAUUCCUGGUGUAGCGGUGAAAUGCGCAGAUAUCAGGAAGAACACCAAUGGCGAAGGCAGCUCUCUGGGACGGUACUGACGCUGAGACGCGAAAGCGUGGGGAGCGAACAGG
rnacentral:rRNA from 1 species